GCGCCUAUAGCUCAGGGGAUAGAGCGCCGGUCUCCGGAACCGGGUGCGCAGGUUCGAAUCCUGCUAGGCGCACCA
rnacentral:tRNA from 26 species